rnacentral:antisense_RNA from 1 species
AACCGCGCCGGAGUCGCAGCGAGCGCGUGCGCACUGCCUUCCGGAGGCCGGGAGGCGGAAGUCCGAGCAGGGAGAGCUCUUGUGACGCUACGAACCUCUCGAACACCUGACGACUGGGCGCCAGGGCCGGAUGGAUGGUGGAGAGCCACUGCGGCGCAGCUGCCUCCUCUUAACGGGGACACCUAGCAGGAAUGUGCGGAGUGGAGCUAAGGGGAGCGGAUAGAAACCGAGGGAGGGGAAGAGAGCGCGAAGGCUUGGCCGGAAGGAGAGGUUAAAAAGGAAAGGCCUAAAAUGAGGAAGAGAGUUACCACAACAAGCAGUACCUAGUUCCAGUUCUUGGUCCCAGGAGUUUGUGGUUGUUGCUGCUUUCAUCUUCCUCAGCCAACACAAAAGGAAAGUGCCAAGGGGCGAUUCCUAGGACCUUCAGUGCAGUCUCCACCUUGCGGACUUGGCUUAUUUGUGUGCACUCCUUUCUCCAGCCUUUUACACUUGAUGCUCUUGGAUGAAUAGAAAGGAGCACAAUUAAUGGAAAACACAAGCUUGGGAGUCAAGGGAUUUGGGUUCUAUUCUUGUCCUCCCUUGGUGACGACAUCAUUACCUUGGGUUAUUCAAGCUUUCAGUGCCAGAGUUCCUAUAUUAAUAAAAGAUUAUUACAUU